GAAAAAAGAAAAGGAAAGAGGAAGAGAAAAAAGAGCAAGAUAAAGGAACACUGUUGAAGUACUUUGGAGAACAACCAACUUUACCUGCCCCUACUGUUUCGAGUGUCAGUGCCUCCACAGCUGAUGAUGCAGCAGGUUCAUCCACUGCACAAGCGACAUCAAGGGAGGAGCACUUACAUGUGACUGAAAGCGAGGAGCAGUUACAAGCACCUACAUUUACUGAUCCACUGGUUUCAAACUCA